UACGUAGGGUGCAAGCGUUAAUCGGAAUUACUGGGCGUAAAGCGUGCGCAGGCGGUUCGCUAAGACAGAUGUGAAAUCCCCGGGCUUAACCUGGGAACUGCAUUUGUGACUGGCGGGCUAGAGUAUGGCAGAGGGGGGUAGAAUUCCACGUGUAGCAGUGAAAUGCGUAGAGAUGUGGAGGAAUACCGAUGGCGAAGGCAGCCCCC
rnacentral:rRNA from 1 species